rnacentral:rRNA from 1 species
AGUGAACGCUGGCGGUAGGCCUAACACAUGCAAGUCGAACGGCAGCACAGUAAGAUCUUGCUCUUACGGGUGGCGAGUGGCGGACGGGUGAGGAAUACAUCGGAAUCUACUUUUUCGUGGGGGAUAACGUAGGGAAACUUACGCUAAUACCUCAUACGACCUACGGGUGAAAGCAGGUGAUCUUCGGACCUUGCGCGAUUGAAUGAGCCGAUGUCGGAUUAGCUAGUUGGCGGGGUAAAGGCCCACCAAGGCGACGAUCCGUAGCUGGUCUGAGAGGAUGAUCAGCCACACUGGAACUGAGACACGGUCCAGACUCCUACGGGAGGCAGCAGUGGGGAAUAUUGGACAAUGGGCGCAAGCCUGAUCCAGCCAUACCGCGUGGGUGAAGAAGGCCUUCGGGUUGUAAAGCCCUUUUGUUGGGAAAGAAAAGCAGCAGGUUAAUACCCCGCUGUUCUGACGGUACCCAACGAAUAAGCACCGGCUAACUUCGUG